rnacentral:rRNA from 1 species
AAGGGCACCACAAGAACGCGUGGAGCAUGUGGCUUAAUUUGACUCAACGCGGGAAAUCUUACCGGGUCCGGACACACUGAGGAUUGACAGGCAAUAUUAAUACUUUGCCUCGGCAUUGUAUUAUGUUAAAUAUGCUAGUCCUUUCAUGAUUAUGUGAUAGGUGGUGCAUGGCGUUCUUAGUUCGUGGAGUGAUCUGUCUGCUUAAUUGCGUUUCACUAAGGGCCUAUAAAUUUACGUAUGUUGUAUCGCACUUUGACCCCUUUCUUUAAUUAGAAAGCGCGUGUCUUAGUUUCGCUUUGCUCAUACAAUUAGGUCCUGAAAGCAACGAACGUGACCGCAACCUCUUGUUGCCUUUAUACCAAACAUGUUUAUUCAUUUUUUAAUGUUCAUUCAUGAAAAAAGGCUUUUUAAACUAGAGGGACCGCUGUUACUUUCUUAAACCAGAGGAAGGUUGCGGCAAUAACAGGUCUGUGAUGCCCUUAGAUGUUCCGGGCUGCACACGUGCUACAAUGAUUAUUGCAGUGAGCAUCUCAUUUUUACACACCGCAUGCGCGAGUCCAUUUAUUCACCUUCGGGUGUUUUAAAUGUGUACCUCUGCGCGCGGUAAAGCCUGCUUCGAAAGUAAGUGGGUAAUCAAUUAGAAGUAAUGAUUUCCUUUUUUAGCACACAUAUAUACGGCGUCUAUGCCCGGGUUACCUUGUUGUAGCUUUUGUGUGUAUAGAUGUUUUUUCCGUAUGUGCGAUUGUCAAUUCAUGGUGGGGACAGACCAUUGUUAAUUGUUGGUCUCGGUCUUAACUAGGAAUGCCUUGUACGGGUCUUUGGUUCAACAAACCACCCGGAAUACGUCCCUGCCCUUUGUACACACCGCCCGUCGCUCUUACCGAUGGACUUCUCUGUGAGUUUGAGGGACUGGGAACGCAGGAAUUUAUUUCUGCACACCUAUGGAAACUUAAAUGAACAGUGUGGUCUAAAGGAAAGAGAAGUCGAACAAGGCA